GUCUUCGUAGCUCAAGUGGUAGAGCGUUCGUUCGGAAAGCGAAAGGUCCUGGGUUCGAUUCCCGGUCGAGGAAACA